GCGUGUGUCGACUCCAAGAUUGGAGGCAAGGCAGAGAUGAAAGCAAGCCGCAGAAGCAGAAGCAAGCCGCAGAAGCAGAAGCAGUCGCAGAAGCAGAAGCAGUCGCUCGUAGGCAGUCGCUCGCAGUCAGGUGACCAGGUUGCUCGCAAAGGCAGUCGCUCGCAGGCAGUCGCUCGCACGCAGUCAGGUGACCAGGUCGCUCGCAAAGGCCAGAUGCGGAGAUGCAAGGAGGCGCAAACCCAGAACCGCAAACCAAAUGUAUAAGUAUAACCUAAACCUAGUUGAAUGAACUAAAUAAAAAUAAAAAAGUGCGGUUUCG
rnacentral:lncRNA from 1 species